CCACUGGAGAGCAGGACCCGGACCAACCCACUGCGCCACCGCGCCCCCUCAGUGUGUAAUAUAACAUUACUAUUGGUCAUUUUCAAAAGAUAAUCCAGGUUAAAUACUUCACUCAUGGGUCCAAGAGCACAGUUCGCCCUGGUACUAAAACUGGAAACCUUCAGGAUACCAGUCAGUCCAUAAUGGUGAACAGCCACUUGUCACGGGCAUCCCACUUCCACCCCCAGCAUUCUUCCCUC